rnacentral:lncRNA from 1 species
UUCUCCCCUCAAUUGAUUUAUUAAAGUUGAUGAAAUUGCAGUCUAAACUGUAAUUUCUUCCAACGAGAAGACACAUGAGACAGGAGGCAGAAGAAGAGACACACAAAUCCACAGAACAAAAAUGGAGCCAGUCACAGAUGAGAGUACAGCAUAUGCGCAAGAUGGCAGUACAGAUAAAUGGGCAAUUAUUGGCAAAUAAUCGCAAGUAAUGGCAAGUAAGAUUUCAAAACAAAAAAAUUUCUCAUGAUUUAAGAAUUUGAAUUAAAAAAACACAAAAGAAUUAGAAUUUAACAUAGGUGAAGGGUUUUAUGGACUCAGUAUAUAUAUCUUUCCAAAAAUGACAUGAAACUCAGAAGCCAUAAAAGCGAACAUGGUUAUACUUGGACAUAUAACAAUCAUACACAUUCUUAUAACAAAAACAAAGUUAAAAAGUGUGUGAAAAAGAGCUGUAAUGGUUGACAAUCCAAAUCUUAUUUCCCGAAAUAGUAAAUGAGCUCUUCGAAAUCAGGAAGAGACUAAAUCCUCCUCCCACCCACAAAAUUGGACAUAAAGAAGAAAUUAAAAAAUACAGAUGGCUAACAAACAUGAAAAAAUGACCAAACUCAAAAACAAAAGAAAUACAAUUUAAGACAAUAGUUUGGGUGAUCACAUUGGCAAAAAUUUUAAAUAUUUAUAAAAUCCAUUGUCUGUGAGGUUGUAGGAAAGCUGGCAAUCUCAUUCAUUGCCAUUGGAGGAUAAAGUUGUUAACCACAUUUUUGAAGGCAAACUUGCAAUAAUUUUCAAAAUAUGAAGUGUGCACAUACUUAAUCCCAGUAAUUCAACUGAUAAGUAAUUUAUUAUGAUAUUAUAGACAAAUGCAAAAUUAUUGAUAUAUAGGGAGGUUCAUUGCACAGAAAUUUGGUGCUAACAUAAAUAUCUAUGAGUGAGAAAUGCUUAAAACAUUUAAUUAUAUUUCAUCUACAAAACAUUCAUGUCGUCAUUCAACAAAUGACACAGAUGUGUAUGUAUUACUGAAAAAGAAAAAGGCCAUUGAAUGAGGCCUGUUAAAUGAAAGAGGUAAUUUGCAGAAAAAUGUGUUACAAUAUGGCCACACUCCUGGAUCCUUCCCCAAAAUGGCUUGUGUAUUUGUGUGCAUCUAUCCACUAAAAGAAUGCAUGUAGUUCACUUAAUAGAGGAAAACUAUAGGGACAGAAUUGGAAGAGAGGAGGGCAUUUAAUUUAUAUAUUAUUUAAAUAUGCUUUGAAUUUUUGAAAAAAAUCAUGCAGAGUUUCUUUUUAAUAUAUUCUGUAUUUUUCAGUUUACCAUGCGGCAAAUGAAAAUUAUAAAUGUAUAUUUAUGGGAGCACUGAGCAAUUCCACCAUUUUGAGCAUCUUGUGUAAUAUUUUAUCCUCUACUGAGGCUCCUGGGAUUGAGUCAAGUGGCAGCAAGGGAAACAGUCACCAUGCCCCAAUUAAAGUCUCAUCGAUGAUAUCCCAACAUGAGCAUUUCUCAGUUAAGCAUUUCUUAUCUGCAGGAGGUAUCC